rnacentral:lncRNA from 1 species
GUCUGACAUAUCUCAUCCACCUUCACCAGCUGCGGCAGCCGCCCCGACCCCAAAAGUGGGAACAAUUGCGAGAACGAGGUAUACCUGCGUCCACAACCCAUCAUUUUCAGUUGACCUCCGAUCGAUCAAUAACGAAGAGACCAAAGGAGAGGCAGUAUCUUACGCGAGGAUCCAUUUGCCGUUUAGGAGGGGGAGGGCGUCGGUGGGAGCGGGCGUGGGGUUCUUGGCCUCGAGCUGGGUGAUGAGCUCCACGAUCUCCGCCCUCGUCUCGCUCGACGCCUUCAGCCCACGGUCGGUCCCGGACAGCAGAUCCAUCAGCUUCCUCUUCAGCUCCCCGGCCUCGCUCAGCUCCUCCACCGGGGGUUCCACCACUGCGACCCCGC